ensembl:snRNA
GUGUAUAAAAAGAGAGGUUAGCACUCUCUUUGAAGGAUGGAAGAGGCUCUUGGGCCUGACAACAUCCAUCUGCUUAAUGCAUUGCCACCUACUUUUAAUUAAUUUUGCUAGUUAAUUG